rnacentral:rRNA from 1 species
GUGGAUUAGAUACCCCAGUAGUCCAUGCCGUAAACGGUGGGCGCUAGGUGUAGGGGUCUUCCACGACUUCUGUGCCGUAGCUAACGCAUUAAGCGCCCCGCCUGGGGAGUACGGCCGCAAGGCUAAAACUCAAAGGAAUUGACGGGGGCCCGCACAAGCGGCGGAGCAUGUGGAUUAAUUCGAUGCAACGCGAAGAACCUUACCUGGGCUUGACAUACACCGGACCGGGCCAGAGAUGGUCUUUCCCUUGUGGCUGGUGUACAGGUGGUGCAUGGUCGUCGCCAACU